rnacentral:rRNA from 1 species
AGUGAACGCUGGCGGUAGGCCUAACACAUGCAAGUCGAACGGCAGCACAGUAAGAGCUUGCUCUUACGGGUGGCGAGUGGCGGACGGGUGAGGAAUACAUCGGAAUCUACUUUUUCGUGGGGGAUAACGUAGGGAAACUUACGCUAAUACCGCAUACGACCUACGGGUGAAAGCAGGGGAUCUUCGGACCUUGCGCGAUUGAAUGAGCCGAUGUCGGAUUAGCUAGUUGGCGGGGUAAAGGCCCACCAAGGCGACGAUCCGUAGCUGGUCUGAGAGGAUGAUCAGCCACACUGGAACUGAGACACGGUCCAGACUCCUACGGGAGGCAGCAGUGGGGAAUAUGGGAAAAUGGGCGCAAGCCUGAUCCAGCCAUACCGCGUGGGUGAAGAAGGCCUUCGGGUGGUAAAGCCCUUUUGUUGGGAAAGAAAAGCAGCAGGUUAAUACCCCGCUGUUCUGACGGUACCCAAAGAAUAAGCACCGGCUAACUUCGU